UUGGAGGGCAAGUCUGGUGCCAGCAGCCGCGGUAAUUCCAGCUCCAAUAGCGUAUAUUAAAGUUGUUGCAGUUAAAAAGCUCGUAGUUGAAUUUCGGGAUCAAAUAAUCGGUCGUGCCUCCGGUACGUACUGGUUUUAUUGGUUCCUCCCUUCUGACGAACCAUGGUGUCAUUAAUUUGAUGUGGUGGAGAAUCAGGACUGUUACCUUGAAAAAAUUAGAGUGUUUAAAGCAGGCUAACGCUUGAAUACGUUAGCAUGGAAUAAUGAAAUAGGACGUUCGACCCUAUUUUGUUGGUUUCUAGGAUCGACGUAAUGAUUAAUAGGGAUAGUUGGGGGCAUUAGUAUUCAAUUGUCAGAGGUGAAAUUCUUGGAUUUAUUGAAGACUAACUACUGCGAAAGCAUUUGCCAAGGAUGUUUUCAUUAAUCAAGAACGAAAGUUAGGGGAUCGAAGACGAUCAGAUACCGUCGUAGUCUUAACCAUAAACUAUGCCGACUAGGGAUCGGAUGAUGUUAAUUUUUUAAUGACUCAUUCGGCGCCUUACGGGAAAC
rnacentral:rRNA from 1 species